rnacentral:rRNA from 1 species
CAAUAGCGUAUAUUAAAGUUGUUGCGGUUAAAAAGCUCGUAGUUGGAUUUCUGCUGAGAACGACCGGUCCGCCCUUUGGGUGUGUAUCUGGCUCUUUCUUGGCAUCUUCUUGGUGAACGUUGCUGCACUUGACUGUGUGGAGCGCUACCCAGGACUUUUACUUUGAGGAAAUUAGAGUGUUUCAAGCAGGCAUACGCCUUGAAUACAUUAGCAUGGAAUAAUAAGAUAGGACCUCGGUUCUAUUUUGUUGGUUUCUAGAGCUGAGGUAAUGAUUAAUAGGGAUAGUUGGGGGCAUUCGUAUUUAACUGUCUGAGGUGAAAUUCUUGGAUUUGUUAAAGACGGACUACUGCGAAAGCAUUUGCCAAGGAUGUUUUCAUUGA